UGCGGGAUGGAGAAGUGGUAUCUCGUCGGGCUCAUAACCCGAAGAUCGUCAGUUCGAGUCUGGCUCCCGCUA
rnacentral:tRNA from 1 species